CUUGCUUCUCUUGAGAGCGGCGGACGGGUGAGUAAUGCCUAGGAAUCUGCCUGGUAGUGGGGGAUAACGUCCGGAAACGGACGCUAAUACCGCAUACGUCCUACGGGAGAAAGCAGGGGACCUUCGGGCCUUGCGCUAUCAGAUGAGCCUAGGUCGGAUUAGCUAGUUGGUGGGGUAAUGGCUCACCAAGGCGACGAUCCGUAACUGGUCUGAGAGGAUGAUCAGUCACACUGGAACUGAGACACGGUCCAGACUCCUACGGGAGGCAGCAGUGGGGAAUAUUGGACAAUGGGCGAAAGCCUGAUCCAGCCAUGCCGCGUGUGUGAAGAAGGUCUUCGGAUUGUAAAGCACUUUAAGUUGGGAGGAAGGGCAGUAAAUUAAUACUUUGCUGUUUUGACGUUACCGACAGAAUAAGCACCGGCUAACUCUGUGCCAGCAGCCGCGGUAAUACAGAGGGUGCAAGCGUUAAUCGGAAUUACUGGGCGUAAAGCGCGCGUAGGUGGUUCGUUAAGUUGGAUGUGAAAUCCCCGGGCUCAACCUGGGAACUGCAUUCAAAACUGACGAGCUAGAGUAUGGUAGAGGGUGGUGGAAUUU
rnacentral:rRNA from 1 species